GGACCCGCACAAGCGGUGGAGCAUGUGGUUUAAUUCGAAGCAACGCGAAGAACCUUACCAAGUCUUGACAUCCUGUUGACCGUUCCUUAAUCGGAACUUCUCUUCGGAGCAACAGUGACAGGUGGUGCAUGGUUGUCGUCAGCUCGUGUCGUGAGAUGUUGGGUUAAGUCCCGCAACGAGCGCAACCCUUAUCCUUAGUAGCCAGCAGUUCGGCUGGGCACUCUAGGGAGACUGCCGGAGAUAAUCCGGAGGAAGGUGGGGAUGACGUCAAAUCAUCAUGCCCCUUAUGACUUGGGCUACACACGUGCUACAAUGGUAAUAACAAAGUGAAGCUACCUCGUGAGAGUCAGCAAAUCACAGAAAAGUUAUCUCAGUUCGGAUUGUAGUCUGCAACUCGACUACAUGAAGCUGGAAUCGCUAGUAAUCGCAGAUCAGAAUGCUGCGGUGAAUACGUUCCCGGGUCUU
rnacentral:rRNA from 1 species